ACAAAGGCCCUUCUCAGGGCCACUCCUCAAUAUUAUUUCGAUUAAU
rfam:Phlebotomus papatasi Contig48.37, whole genome shotgun sequence.